rnacentral:siRNA from 1 species
ACAGUUGUUGCGGGAAAACGUGAU